GACGAACGCUGGCGGCGUGCUUAACACAUGCAAGUCGAACGGAAAGGCCCCUUUGGGGGUACUCGAGUGGCGCACGGGUGAGUAACACGUGAGUAACCUGCCCUUGACUUCGGGAUAACUUCAGGAAACUGGGGCUAAUACCGGAUAGGAAUCCUUGCUGCAUGGUGGGGGUUGGAAAGCUUCGGCGGUUUUGGAUGGACUCACGGCUUAUCAGCUUGUUGGUGGGGUAGUGGCUUACCAAGGCUUUGACGGGUAGCCGGCCUGAGAGGGCGACCGGCCACAUUGGGACUGAGAUACGGCCCAGACUCCUACGGGAGGCAGCAGUGGGGAAUAUUGCACAAUGGGCGGAAGCCUGAUGCAGCAACGCCGCGUGCGGGAUGACGGCCUUCGGGUUGGAAACCGCUUUCAGCAGGGGCGAAGCUUGUGGUGACGGUACCUGCAGAAGAAGCACCGGCUAACUACGUG
rnacentral:rRNA from 1 species